AUUGAACGCUGGCGGCAGGCCUAACACAUGCAAGUCGAGCGAGCUGCCGACGGUUUUGUUAUGUCUGGGAAACUUCCUGAUGGAGGGGGUUACCUUCUGGAAACGGUAGCUAAUACCCCAUACCAUCAUCUGUGCCCCUAUGGGAUUAGCUAGUAGGUGGGGUAAUGGCUCACCUAGGCGACGAUCCCUAGCUGGUCUGAGAGGAUGACCAGCCACACUGGAACUGAGACACGGUCCAGACUCCUACGGGAGGCAGCAGUGGGGAAUAUUGCACAAUGGGCGCAAGCCUGAUGCAGCCAUGCCGCGUGUGUGAAGAAGGCCUUCGGGUUGUAAAGCACUUUCAGCGGGGAGGCGGUACCCGAAGAAGAAGCACAGGCUAACUCCGUGCCAGCAGCCGCGGUAAUAA
rnacentral:rRNA from 1 species